CGAGCGGCCACAAAGUCUGGUGGAUUAAAACAGCCUGAAGAGAGAGUAAAACAUGGGAGCCGUCAAAGCCGAUGACGGACGGAACCACCGGGGAUUCCUGGGCCGAUCAGCUGGAGAGAGGAACAAACCAAUGACGGAAAGAGUCCCAACAGGUUGUAUCUCUUCCUCACAUGGUGGACAUUUCCUUCACAGAUCGGAACAUUUAUCGUAUGUAAUGUUGUUAUACUGUAGUUCUGAUUCUAGAUAGUUCUAUAUAAUUUUUUCCUUUUGUUACAUUAUACUGGUUUGUUUUCCCUCUGUCUGUCCCUUCAUAAACCUAUCGUAUGAAAAAGGGAGAUAAAGACUACAAAUAGCAGUUAAGUUGAUAUUUAUUUACAAUGGUUCAUAAUGUAUUACAAUGAGUUUAGUUGUCUUAUAAUUUUUGUUUCAUUUGUAAAAAAAUGAAAAUGAUCCCAACAAAAAGUGAAAUCCUCCCUCAGUCGGGAUCGUUUAAAAAAACACAAAAUCUGCCCUCAGUCCGCCACUUGAUCCACGAAUGUCAUAUUUUUAGUUUUUGUUCAACCUCAAAUGUCAACACAAUCUCUUGGAGCCUAAGUGGUUUCAACCAACAGGAUGGCCCACAAUGUUCUUUCAGUCUACUGGGAAGAACAUGUGGGCUGCAGAUCAACGUGAAGAGUGAUCGUUGCAUCCUCGUUUGGUACAUGGAGAUACACUAGAGGAUUGGACAAUAAUAUUUUCAGUGUUGCUACGAGCCAUAAUGUAGUACAGGUCCCAAAGUCUUGUUUGUUUCUCAGAUUCCAAACUUUUAAGAUCCCCGGAACACUCUGCUGCUUAGCUAUUUUUAGUUGCUGUUUAAAAUAAACAAAUGGUAACGGUCAGUCAGUGCAGUACACAGCGACACAUCGUUAAUUAUUACAAUCUUCAUUUUGGGUCUCUCUGUGGAAAAGUGCUUUACUGCUUUUUCGUCCUCAUAGCCUGAAUCUAGCCUGGGGCUUGGUGGUCCUCUAGAGACAUUCUGAACAUGACUUCAAAGACAGAUCUCCUCCCCUUAGAUACUGUACGCUCCCCUCUCUCUUCCAUCACAGCAAUAAACACUUGAAUUAAUCAAACGGGAUGAAACACGGUUAGACAUCUUGUUUCCCUCAAAAGUUAGUAUGUGAAAAUAUUGUCAUGGCAGUUAUUCAAUCAAUGAAAGCUGUGGCGAGCCCCACUUAGUUUCCCCGGUUCAUAAAGCAAGGUCCAUUAGGACAUGCUAGAAGUACUUUGGUAUGAAUGAACGUGAGACCCCUAACAUGUUUGGGGUGAAUUAGAACAGAAACUGUAUGACAAAGGUAUUGAUAACUUACCUGUACUUGAUUCUUAACUGUGCUACAAUUCCCCAAACCUGGACCCAAUGGAGUACUUCUGGGAUGUCAUCACACCACAGACCAUCAUGAUUGAUGUCCUGUCCUAUGUCUGGGAGAAUCAUUACGCAGGGUUAAAUAGAUAUUUUGUGCUCUUGCGAUCACUCAGUUUUUGUUUUUUUAAAACAGAGCAAGCCCCAUUCUUUCCCACAAGGGCAGCGUCAGUAGCCUCUACGUUUAUUUCCCUUGGCUCCUAUCAAAGUCCCGACUAUUCCAAGAGAGGCGUCUCAAAAUGUUAUUCAUUUUCCAUGUUGACCAUGAGGUGGGGUCUCUAUCUUGAAGAUAUUUAAGGUGUUUGCUCAGAAAAUAAGUCAUGGCGCUAAAUGUAUUUUGUACAGGAGCGCAUCUCUGCCCAUGGAGUAAAUACUGAUGAGCUGGCCACACAUGUAUUAAUCCACGUGUCAAUAGAUAGUGUCAAUUCUGUGCCGCUAAUGUGAGGGAGUGCCACUUGGAAACAAGCUCUAAAUGGAUUCUAUAGGAAAUCUAUGCCAGCACGUAUGUCGAUAAAUGAGUCUUUCCUAUCUUUUAAUGCCAUCAGAAGAUAGGCAGCCCUGCUUGUUAUUGACUGGAGGACAACCCACAUAACCGCUCAAGGAUUCACACCGAGGGUGUUUAUCAGAAAAACGGGAUUACCUUGAUGUCUGAUAAAUGUGAAAAUGCCAGCGUGGGUUUAAACAAGAACACUCGGUGGAUGGCAGAUGUUUAUUAUGGAUGUAAAGCCUUCAGGGAUUUGCAGGCCUUUACCAAGCAAGGAUUCCCAUUUGGUCACCUCGGGGUUGAACACGCAUGUUUUACAGCGUAACAUAGGACUACACACAUGGACAAAAUUGUUAUAAAAUAUAAAAUAAAAUACCAAUGUCAUGAAAAUUAACAACUGAAAAUCAGAUGUUGAUUUUGAAUUGUGGAUUAAUUGAAUUACUGUACUUUUUU